GCCUAGCCGUAAACAAUUAAUUUACACCCAUCAGCGCCAGGGAACUACGAGCAAUGCUUAAAACCCAAAGGAUUUGACGGUGUCCCACCCAGCUAGAGGAGCCUGUUCUUUAAUCGAUGAUCCCCGCUACACCUGACCAUUUCUUGCUCAUCAGUCUGUAUACCUCCGUCGAAAGCUUACCAUGUGAACGUCUUCAGUAGGCUCAAUGAUCAUAAUUACAUCAAUACGUCAGGUCAAGGUGCAGCUUAAGAAAUGGGAAGCAAUUGGCUACAAUUUCUAAUAUAGAACAAACGAAAGGCUAUGUGAAAUCAUAGCAGCGAAGGUGGAUUUAGUAGUAAAAAGAAAAUAGAGUGUUCUUUUUAACCCGGCUCUGGGAUGC
rnacentral:rRNA from 1 species